CCUUAGAGACCAACUUAGUUUGUUCUUGGUAUAAGCUUUUGUGUGCACAUGAAAGCUUAUACCAAGAACAAACUUAGUUGGUCUCUAAGG